UACGGAGGGGGGCUAGCGUUGUUCGGAAUUACUGGGCGUAAAGGGCGCGCAGGCGGCUGCUCAAGUCAGGCGUGAAAGGCCUGGGCUCAACCCGGGAAUUGCGCUUGAGACUGGGCUGGCUUGAGUGCGGGAGAGGAUGGUGGAAUUCCCAGUGUAGAGGUGAAAUUCGUAGAUAUUGGGAAGAACACCGGUGGCGAAGGCGGCCAUCUGGACCGCAACUGACGCUGAGGCGCGAAAGCGUGGGGAGCAAACAGG
rnacentral:rRNA from 1 species